GUGGGGAAUAUUGCACAAUGGGCGAAAGCCUGAUGCAGCGACGCCGCGUGAAGGAUGAAGUAUUUCGGUAUGUAAACUUCUAUCAGCAGGGAAGAAAAUGACGGUACCUGACUAAGAAGCCCCGGCUAACUACGUGCCAGCAGCCGCGGUAAUACGUAGGGGGCAAGCGUUAUCCGGAUUUACUGGGUGUAAAGGGAGCGUAGACGGCAUUGCAAGCCAGAUGUGAAAGCCCGGGGCUCAACCCCGGGACUGCAUUUGGAACUGCAGGGCUGGAGUGUCGGAGAGGCAAGUGGAAUUCCUAGUGUAGCGGUGAAAUGCGUAGAUAUUAGGAGGAACACCAGUGGCGAAGGCGGCUUGCUGGACGACAACUGACGCUGAGGCGCGAAAGCGUGGGGAGCAAACAGG
rnacentral:rRNA from 1 species